GAUGAACGCUGGCGGCGUGCCUAAUACAUGCAAGUCGAGCGAACGGACGAGAGGCUUGCUUUUCUGAUGUUAGCGGCGGACGGGUGAGUAACACGUGGAUAACCUACCUAUAAGACUGGGAUAACUUCGGGAAACCGGAGCUAAUACCGGAUAAUAUUUUGAACCGCAUGGUUCAUAAGUGAAAGACGGUCUUGCUGUCACUUAUAGAUGGAUCCGCGCUGCAUUAGCUAGUUGGUAAGGUAACGGCUUACCAAGGCAACGAUGCAUAGCCGACCUGAGAGGGUGAUCGGCCACACUGGAACUGAGACACGGUCCAGACUCCUACGGGAGGCAGCAGUAGGGAAUCUUCCGCAAUGGGCGAAAGCCUGACGGAGCAACGCCGCGUGAGUGAUGAAGGUCUUCGGAUCGUAAAACUCUGUUAUUAGGGAAGAACAUAUGUGUAAGUAACUGUGCACAUCUUGACGGUACCUAAUCAGAAAGCCACGGCUAACUACGUG
rnacentral:rRNA from 1 species